UAGGAACUUCCGCAAUGGACGAAAGUCUGACGGAGCAACGCCGCGUGAGUGAUGAAGGCUUUCGGGUCGUAAAACUCUGUUGUUAGGGAAGAACAAGUGCUAGUUGAAUAAGCUGGCACCUUGACGGUACCUAACCAGAAAGCCACGGCUAACUACCUGCCAGCAGCCGCGGUAAUACGUAUGUGGCAAGCGUUAUCCGGAAUUAUUGGGCGUAAAGCGCGCCAUGUGGUUUCUUAAUCUGAUGUGAAACCCCACGCUCAACCGUGGAGGUCAUUGGAAACUGGGAAACUUGAUGCAGAAGAGGAAAGUGGAAUUCCAUGUGUAGCGGUGAAAUGCGUAGAGAUAUGGAGGACCCCCGUGGCGAAUGCACUUUCUGGUCUGUAACUGACACUGAGCGCGAAAGCGUGGGGAGCAAACAGGAUUAGAUACCCUGGUAGUCCCGCCGUAAACGAUGAGUGCUAUUGUUAGAGGGUUUCCCCCUUUAGUGCUGA
rnacentral:rRNA from 1 species